rnacentral:rRNA from 1 species
ACUCAAAUGAAUUGACGGAAAUCUAUACCAGUGGUGGAGUAUGUAGUUUAAUUCGAUAAUAAGCGAAAAACCUUACUAACCCUUGAAUAUAAGUAUUUAAGGUAACUUAUUUCUUUAUGUUUUAUUAGAGAUAAGAGGAAUUUCUUAUACAGGUGUUGCAUGGCUGUCGUAAGCCCGUGUUUUGAGAUGUUAGGUUAAUUCCGCUAACGGGCGAAACCCUUGUUUUUUGUUGUAAAAAAGAUAGCCGAUGCCAAUUGUUGUAAGGAAGGGAAGGAUGACGUCAAGUCAAGAUGGCCUUUAUGGGUUGGGCGACACACGUACUACAAAGGUUGUGACAAUGAAUAGCAAUAGUGUGAGCUGGAGCAAGUUUUAUAAAAUCAACCGUAGUUCGGAUUGUUCUCUGCAAUUCGAGAACAUGAAGGUGGAAUCGCUAGUAAUCGCAAAUCAGCAUGUUGCGGUGAAUAAUGGAAAUGGAUUUUGUACACACCGCCCGU